GAACCUUCGGGGAACGUUAACGGCGUCGAGCGGCGGACGGGUGAGUAAUGCCUGGGAAAUUGCCCUGAUGUGGGGGAUAACCAUUGGAAACGAUGGCUAAUACCGCAUAAUAGCUUCGGCUCAAAGAGGGGGACCUUCGGGCCUCUCGCGUCAGGAUAUGCCCAGGUGGGAUUAGCUAGUUGGUGAGGUAAUGGCUCACCAAGGCGACGAUCCCUAGCUGGUCUGAGAGGAUGAUCAGCCACACUGGAACUGAGACACGGUCCAGACUCCUACGGGAGGCAGCAGUGGGGAAUAUUGCACAAUGGGCGCAAGCCUGAUGCAGCCAUGCCGCGUGUAUGAAGAAGGCCUUCGGGUUGUAAAGUACUUUCAGCAGUGAGGAAGGCGGGUACGUUAAUAGCGGGCUUGUUUGACGUUAGCUGCAGAAGAAGCACCGGCUAACUCCGUGCCAGCAGCCGCGGUAAUACGGAGGGUGCGAGCGUUAAUCGGAAUUACUGGGCGU
rnacentral:rRNA from 1 species